CGGCGCCGCGACCCGGCCAAAUAGGCGGGCGGUCGCGGGGCGUGACAGAUAAGAUGGUAUCAGAGCAUAAAAAGAACAUAAAAAGAAUAAUAGAAAAUAAUUUAGUUGGACCUAGGAGACCCUAGGAUAGUAAACCAUAGGAGAUUAAGGCUCGUGAGAGACGAGGACUUGUUUCUUUUGGCGAAAGGUUAAUUGAUUGGGUUGUGUCAUAAACCUCUAAAACGGAUGUUAGAGGUAGACUCAAGGUGAGAUUUAUUCUCAACAGAGGGUGUUCAUGUUGGGUGCACGCAACAUGAAGCCGAGUGAUGAGAAUAGACGUCCUUGCGUGACUUUCGCCCGAUUUGAGUCGGUAUUAAGUGUCCUGUGUUCGACCUAGAAGGUCGAGGAUUAAUAGAGUUGUCGCAUUUUAGGAAGCGAUAGUACCGCGUAGGCGAUCUUCUUUUAAAUCGGCGCGAGAUAGGCCAAGCGGUGUCCCUGGGCAAUUUGAGGCGAGCGGAGACUUGGAACUUCGCGAGUUUUGGCGG
rnacentral:lncRNA from 1 species